GGCAGCCACCGCGGCGACUUGGCGGCGGGUGCCAUGCGUCUGGAGCUUCACAUUCUCUGCCCCCCACCCACCGCGCCGGCGCUCCCUUGUCACGCCUCGGGAAGCGCGCACCUGCCAAGCAGGAUGAAUAAUCUGAUAUCAUGUGAAAUGAGGAAAUAAGAAGCUUUCUGCUGACUUCAUUUUGACCCAGGGUCCAAAAGGUGAUGUAAUCCUGUGGCAAGAAGAUUCAAAACUGUGGACUAUCUUGCAAAAAAUACAAGAAGAUAUUGAAAGUUUUCAUGAGUGCCUACCACCUAAUCUCAAACACUAUCAUUCAUAUGUGCCUCAUUGAGCAAAUCUUUAAUGAGGAUCUAUAUGCCAGCAAUAUCUUUUGCUUGGGAGCAGAAACAGAAAGUACAUGAUGGACUUCAUUGAAGGAUGGAGAUUUGGAAGACAUGAAUGGAUGAAGAACCAAGUGCGUGAGGGCACCUAUCAGGAUUAUUGCUGAAAUCCUUAUGGAGUUAACUGGCUGAGAGGAAGACGGAGUCUCGCUCUGUUGCCCAGGCUGUAGUUCAGUGGUGCAAUCUCAGCUCACUGCAAGCUCUGCCUCCCGGGUUCAUGCCAUUCUUCUGCCUCAGCCUCCCGAGUAGCUGGGACUACAAGCGCCUGCUACCACGCCUGGCUAAUUUUUUGUAUUUUUUAGUAGAGACGGAGUUUCACCAUGUUAGCCAGGAUGGUCUCGAUCUCCUGACCUUGUGAUCCACCCAUCUCGGCCUCCCAAAGUGCUAGGAUUACAGGCAUGAGCCACCACGCCCAGCCAACUUAUAACUUUUAUAUCAUUAGACACAUGGAAUAUGGGCCUCCGUUUGUACUCUUGCCCUUGGCCCCACAAACGUUAGGGAGAGGCCUGGCUCCUGCAAUGUACUAUUUACCUGUUGUAAAGAAUAGCCCUUCAAAAGUAUUAUUCUAAGUCUGUUUGACAUAAUAGGUCCAAAUUGUAUUACAACAUGGUAAAAAAACAACAAUCCAUUAACAAUCCUCUUUGGAUUUCUAAAAAAGUUUUGGUAGCCUAAACUCUUUCCCCAAUUUUUGAUAUCACUUCAUGUCAUUUUAGAGAGUAAGUUUUCCUGUUUUAUUAAUGUUUAUAUUUAAGCUGAAUUUUCUAAAAGAAUUGUGAGUGUUUUUAUUCUAUUGUGACAUUCAAGGUACGCAGCUGACCCUUGAGUAUAAGUCCCAUCAACUAAGUAAACAUCAAACAUAUCUUCAGUACAUCCCUUUAGAUCUUGACAGUUAUUUAUCACUUUUUCAUAAGUUCCAAAGUUCCAGAUGGUUACUGAUACAUUCAGGCUGACCACUGCUAGAUUUGAGACUUGUCCCACAGAUCUGC
rnacentral:lncRNA from 1 species